rnacentral:rRNA from 1 species
UGGGGAAUAUUGCACAAUGGAGGGAACUCUGAUGCAGCGACGCCGCGUGAGUGAUGAAGGAAUUCGUUUCGUAAAACUCUGUUCUAUGGGAAGAAAAGGACUGUACCAUAGGAGAAAGCCCCGGCUAAAUACGUGCCAGCAGCCGCGGUAAUACGUAUGGAGCGAGCGUUGUCCGGAAUUAUUGGGCGUAAAGGGUGCGCAGGCGGCUUUACAAGUUGGAUGUGAAAUAUUGUGGCUCAACCACAAACGUGCAUCCAAAACUGCAAAGCUUGUGUUAAGGAGAGGUAAGUGGAAUUCCUGGUGUAGCGGUGGAAUGCGUAGAUAUCAGGAGGAAUACCGGUGGCGAAGGCGACUUACUGGACUUAAACUGACGCUCAGGCACGAAAGCGUGGGGAGCAAACAGG